AAUAACUCAUUUUCACACUUAUCAUGCAGUAUUUUUCUGAAGCAAUUUUUUGCAGCUGAUUCAUUGAUACCACUAAUCUCUUAAUUGAUUUGUUAUCUGUUUGAGGUGUAAAUGAAUGAGAUUGGUCUAGCCAGAGAUCUUUCGUCAUUGGUAGCCUCCUAGGAAGUGGAGAAUUGGUGGAAAUUACAAGGAGUUGGGCUUUC
rnacentral:lncRNA from 1 species